AUUGAACGCUGGCGGCAUGCCUAACACAUGCAAGUCGAGCGGAAGAAGGGUGCUUGCUCCUGGAUUCAGCGGCGGACGGGUGAGUAAUGCGUAGGAAUUUUCCUGUUAGUUUCGGAUAACGUCUGGAAACGUGCGCUAAUACCGCAUACGUCGUGAGGUAGAAAGUGGGGGAUGUUCGGACUUCUCGCUAUCGGAUGAGCCUAGGGCGGAUCAGCUAGUUGGUGGGGUAAAGGCCUACCAAGGCGACGAUGCGUAACUGGUCUGAGAGGAUGAUCAGUCACACUGGAACUGAGACACGGUCCAGACUCCUACGGGAGGCAGCAGUGGCGAAUAUUGGAAGCUGGGGGAAAGCCUGAUCCAGCGAUGCCGCGUGUGUGAAGAAGGUCUUCGGAUUGUAAAGCACCUUUAGUUGGGAGGACGCCCAGUAAGUUAAUACCAUGCUGUUUUGACGUUACCAACAGAAUAAGCACCGGCUAACUUCGUG
rnacentral:rRNA from 1 species